rnacentral:rRNA from 1 species
AACGAACGCUGGCGGCAGGCUUAACACAUGCAAGUCGAGCGCCCCGCAAGGGGAGCGGCAGACGGGUGAGUAACGCGUGGGAAUCUACCGUACCCUACGGAAUAACGCAUGGAAACGUGUGCUAAUACCGUAUACGCCCUACGGGGGAAAGAUUUAUCGGGGUAUGAUGAGCCCGCGUUGGAUUAGCUAGUUGGUGGGGUAAAGGCCUACCAAGGCGACGAUCCAUAGCUGGUCCGAGAGGAUGAUCAGCCACAUUGGGACUGAGACACGGCCCAAACUCCUACGGGAGGCAGCAGUGGGGAAUAUUGGACAAUGGGCGCAAGCCUGAUCCAGCCAUGCCGCGUGAGUGAUGAAGGCCUUAGGGUUGUAAAGCUCUUUCACCGGUGAAGAUAAUGACGGUAACCGGAGAAGAAGCCCCGGCUAACUUCGUGCCAGCAGCCGCGGUAAAAC